rnacentral:rRNA from 1 species
AGUAACGCGUGAGGAACCUGCCUCAAAGAGGGGGACAACAGUUGGAAACGACUGCUAAUACCGCAUAAGCCCACGGCUCGGCAUCGAGCAGAGGGAAAAGGAGCAAUCCGCUUUGAGAUGGCCUCGCGUCCGAUUAGCUAGUUGGUGAGGUAACGGCCCACCAAGGCGACGAUCGGUGGCCGGACUGAGAGGUUGAACGGCCACAUUGGGACUGAGACACGGCCCAG